CUACGGGCCGCUGCAGUAAGGAAUAUUGGGCAAUGGACGCAAGUCUGACCCAGCCAUGCCGCGUGCAGGAUGACGGCCCUACGGGUUGUAAACUGCUUUUAUACGGGAAAAAUUCCCCGGUCGUGAAUCGGGGUUGAUGGUACCGUAAGAAUAAGCAUCGGCUAACUCCGUGCCAGCAGCCGCGGUAAUACGGAGGAUGCAAGCGUUAUCCGGAUUCAUUGGGUUUAAAGGGUGCGUAGGCGGAAUGAUAAGUCAGUGGUGAAAUCCUACAGCUUAACUGUAGAACUGCCAUUGAUACUGUUGGUCUUGAGUACAUUUGAAGUGGGCGGAAUGUGUCAUGUAGCGGUGAAAUGCAUAGAGAUGACACAGAACACCGAUCGCGAAGGCAGCUCACUAAACUGUAACUGACGCUGAGGCACGAAAGCGUGGGGAUCAAACAGGAUUAGAUACCCUAGUAGUC
rnacentral:rRNA from 1 species